rnacentral:rRNA from 1 species
GGCCUAAAACGUCCGUAGCCGGUUCUAUAAAUGCCUGGGUAAAUCGUAUGGCUUAACCGUACGAAUUCCGGGUAGACUGUUCAACUUGGGACCGGGAGAGGCUAGAGGUACUCCUGGGGUAGAGGUGAAAUUCUGUAAUCCUAGGGGGACCACCAGUGGCGAAGGCGUCUAGCUAGAACGGGUCUGACGGUGAGGGACGAAGCCCUGGGGAGCGAACGGGAUUAGAUACCCCGGUAGUCCAGGGCGUAAACGCUGCUCGCUUGAUGUUAGUCGGGCUCCGAGCCCAACUAGUGUCGGAGAGAAGUUGUUAAGCGAGCUGCCUGGGGAGUACGGUCGCAAGACUGAAACUUAAAGGAAUUGGCGGGGGAGCACCGCAACGGGUGGAGCGUGCGGUUUAAUUGGAUUCAACGCCGGAAAACUCACCGGGGGCGACGGUUAUAUGAAGGCCAGGCUGAUGACCUUGCCUGAUUUUCCGAGAGGUGGUGCAUGGCCGUCGUCAGUUCGCACCGUGAGGCGUUCUGUUAAGUCAGACAACGAACGAGACCCUCAUCUUUAGUUGCAACUGGUAAGUUCGCUUACUAGGCACACUAGAGAAACCGCUGGCGAUAAGUCAGAGGAAGGCGAGGGCAACGGUAGGUCAGUAUGCCCUGAAUCCCCCGGGCUACACGCGCGCUACAAAGGCUAGGACAAUGGGUUUCGACACCGAAAGGUGAAGGUAAUCCCGAAACCUAGUCAUAGUUCGGAUUGAGGGUUGUAACUCACCCUCA